CUUGUCUGCGUUUCCCCUGUUGGGCCGCCAGAUGGCGGCACUUCUGUUUUGUGUCCUGCUCCCCUUGUGUUAAUUGUAUGAUUGUUUUCAAUUGUCUCAUUAUUGGUUCUUGAUUGUCUCGUUUUCCCUUCCCUCUCUGUGGCCUGAUUGUUCAUGGUGCCCUCCUGUGUCUCGUCAGUGUCUGUUCUAUUUAAGUUUCCCCCUCCCUUGACUCAGGUGCUGGAUCUUUGUGGUUAUGUCAGAUUGUUUGUGCGUAGGCCUCUGCCCCAUGUGUUCCUGCCCAUGUCUUGGUUUUCUAGUUGUUUUUUUGGAGUUUCUGCAUUUCCUUUGUUCCUGUGUUUGUUUCCUACGUAUGUUUGUGCCGACCGUAUGUACCUGCCUGUGUUUGUGACCUGUUUGUGUUUGUUUGACUUACUUGUACUCUGUCCUGCCUGUGUUUUUGAGUUCCUGUUUCAUUAGAUAUUUUGAGUUUGUGUUUUUGCCCUUCGUGGCCUCCUCUGUUCCCUACUUGUUUGCCUGUCGUGUUAGUAAAGUCUUUGUUAAUUUUC